rnacentral:rRNA from 1 species
AUUGAACGCUGGCGGCAGGCCUAACACAUGCAAGUCGAGCGGGGUUUUCGGACCUAGCGGCGGACGGGUGAGUAAUGCGUAGGAAGCUGCCCGAUAGAGGGGGAUACCAGUUGGAAACGACUGUUAAUACCGCAUAAUGUCUACGGACCAAAGUGUGGGACCUUCGGGCCACAUGCUAUCGGAUGCGCCUACGUGGGAUUAGCUAGUUGGUGAGGUAAUGGCUCACCAAGGCGACGAUCUCUAGAUGGUGUGAGAGGAUGAUCAGCCACACUGGGACUGAGACACGGUCCAGACUCCUACGGGAGGCAGCAGUGGGGAAUAUUGGACAAUGGGCGCAAGCCUGAUCCAGCCAUGCCGCGUGUGUGAAGAAGGCCUUCGGGUUGUAAAGCACUUUCAGCGAGGAGGAAGGGUGGUGUGUUAAUAGCACAUCAUUUUGACGUUACUCGCAGAAGAAGCACCGGCUAACUCUGUGCCAGCCGCCGCGGUAA